rnacentral:rRNA from 1 species
CCAGACUCCUACGGGAGGCAGCAGUAGGGAAUUUUGCGCAAUGGGCGAAAGCCUGACGCAGCAACGCCGCGUGAUCGAGACGCCCUUCGGGGUGUAAAGAUCUGUCAGUGGGGACGAAACUUGACGGUACCCACAGAGGAAGCACCGGCUAACUCCGUGCCAGCAGCCGCGGUAAUACGGGGGGUGCAAGCGUUAUCCGGAAUUACUGGGUGUAAAGGGAGCGCAGACGGCAGUGCAAGUCUGGAGUGAAAGCCCGUGGCUUAACUACGGGACUGCUCUGGGAACUGUCCGGCUGGAGUGCGGGAGGGGCAGGCGGAAUUCCUGGUGUAGCGGUGAAAUGCGUAGAUAUCAGGAGGAACACCGGCGGCGAAGGCGGCCUGCUGGACCGCGACUGACGUUGAGGCUCGAAAGCGUGGGGAGCGAACAGGAUUAGAUACCCCGGUAC